rnacentral:rRNA from 1 species
CCUACGGGAGGCAGCAGUGAGGAAUAUUGGUCAAUGGACGAGAGCCUGAACCAGCCAAGUAGCGUGAAGGAUGACUGCCCUACGGGUUGUAAACUUCUUUUAUAUAGGAAUAAAGUUCAGUAUGUAUACCGUUUUGUAUGUACCAUAUGAAUAAGGAUCGGCUAACUCCGUGCCAGCAGCCGCGGUAAUACGGAGGAUCCGAGCGUUAUCCGGAUUUAUUGGGUUUAAAGGGAGCGUAGGCGGACGCUUAAGUCAGUUGUGAAAGUUUGCGGCUCAACCGUAAAAUUGCAGUUGAAACUGGGAGUAUUGAGUACAGUAGAGGUAGGCGGAAUUCGUGGUGUAGCGGUGAAAUGCUUAGAUAUCACGAAGAACUCCGAUUGCGAAGGCAGCUUACUAGAAUGUAACUGACGCUGAUGCUCGAAAGUGUGGGUAUCAAACAGGAUUAGAUACCCGAGUAGUC